UACAGAGGUCCCAAGCGUUGUUCGGAUUCACUGGGCGUAAAGGGUGCGUAGGUGGCGGGGUAAGUUUGAUGUGAAAUCUCCGGGCUUAACCCGGAAAUGGCAUUGAAUACUAUUCUGCUGGAGGGUUGGAGGGGGGACUGGAAUUCUCGGUGUAGCAGUGAAAUGCGUAGAUAUCGAGAGGAACACCAGUGGCGAAGGCGAGUCCCUGGACAACUCCUGACACUAAGGCACGAAAGCUAGGGGAGCAAACAGG
rnacentral:rRNA from 1 species